UCCGAGUUGACCCCGGCAGUCUCCUACGAGUCCCCGGCAUAACCCGCUGGCAACAUAGGACAAGGGUUGCGCUCGUUGCGGGACUUAACCCAACAUCUCACGACACGAGCUGACGACAGCCAUGCACCACCUGUGAUCCUGCCCAAAAGGGAAACCGUGUUUCCACGGCGGUCAGGAACAUGUCAAACCCAGGUAAGGUUCUUCGCGUUGCGUCGAAUUAAACCACAUACUCCACCGCUUGUGGGGGUCCCCGUCAAUUCCUUUGAGUUUUAAUCUUGCGACCGUACUCCCCAGGCGGGAUGCUUAACGCGUUAGCUUCGCUACUGAACGGGUCGAGCGCCCAACAGCUAGCAUCCAUCGUUUACGGCGUGGACUAC
rnacentral:misc_RNA from 1 species